rnacentral:rRNA from 1 species
GACGAACGCUGGCGGCGUGCCUAAUACAUGCAAGUCGAACGAAGCUGUUUUAACUGGUGCUUGCACCGACUUAAACAACUGAGUGGCGAACGGGUGAGUAACACGUGGGUAACCUGCCCCAAAGCGGGAGAUAACAUUUGGAAACAGAUGCUACUACCGCAUAACCACAGAAACCACAUGGAUUCUGUGUCAAAGAUGGUUUCGGCUACCACUUUGGGAUGGACCCGCGGCGGAUUAGCUAGUUGGUAAGGUAAUGGCUGACCAAGGCAAUGAUACGUAGCCGAACUGAGAGGUUGAUCGGCCACAUUGGGACUGAGACACGGCCCAAACUCCUACGGGAGGCAGCAGUAGGGAAUCUUCCACAAUGGACGAAAGUCUGAUGGAGCAACGCCGCGUGAGUGAAGAAGGUUUUCGGAUCGUAAAACUCUGUUGUCAGAGAAGAACGCGUGCGAGAGUAACUGUUCGUGCAGUGACGGUAUCUGGCCAGAAAGCCACGGCUAACUACGUGCCAGCAGCCGCCGUAA